AGAGAUCUUAAUGGAACUGAGGAUUUUUGACAAGAAAAUUCUAAGGAGAAUAUAUUAUGAUGGUCCAUGCUAUGACUCACAAAUAGAAGAAGGGUCAAAUAGAUUUAACGUAGAACUAAGAUAUACCUACCUGUCUGUAUAAUAUUAUAGUGUACCAAUAAGACAUAGUGGAAGAGAUCGAAAAUAUAAGACUAUUACAGUCCAUGAUGUUAGGGAUGGAUUCAAUUGAAAAAAGAACCAUUU